rnacentral:rRNA from 1 species
GUGGGGAAUAUUGCACAAUGGGCGAAAGCCUGAUGCAGCAACGCCGCGUGAGGGACGACGGCCUUCGGGUUGUAAACCUCUUUUAGUAGGGAAGAAGCGAAAGUGACGGUACCUGCAGAAAAAGCACCGGCUAACUACGUGCCAGCAGCCGCGGUAAUACGUAGGGUGCAAGCGUUAUCCGGAAUUAUUGGGCGUAAAGAGCUCGUAGGCGGUCUGUCGCGUCUGCUGUGAAAACUGGAGGCUCAACCUCCAGCCUGCAGUGGGUACGGGCAGACUAGAGUGCGGUAGGGGAGAUUGGAAUUCCUGGUGUAGCGGUGGAAUGCGCAGAUAUCAGGAGGAACACCGAUGGCGAAGGCAGAUCUCUGGGCCGUAACUGACGCUGAGGAGCGAAAGCGUGGGGAGCGAACAGGAUUAGAAACCCUUGUAGUCC